rnacentral:lncRNA from 1 species
AAGGAUUUGGUUUGAUAAAACAAUAAUAUAAUAUCUAUUCACAUUUGUCUAUAAAACAGUGAAAUAUGAUGUUGGGAUUGAACUUGACUAUUCUUCCUCUAAUGCACUGCCUUUGAUUCACUACAAGUUAUGGUCUAUACUUUAAUGUUCCUAUAAUAUGGUAAUUUUAAACCCAUCCCUGGCAUUUAAAACCUAAGGUUACCAGACUUAUUAUGAUUCCUC